rnacentral:rRNA from 1 species
AUUGAACGCUGGCGGAAUGCUUUACACAUGCAAGUCGAGCGGCAGCGCGGGGCAACCUGGCGGCGAGCGGCGAACGGGUGAGUAAUACAUCGGAACGUGCCCAAGUGUGGGGGAUAGCCCGGCGAAAGCCGGAUUAAUACCGCAUACGAUCUAAGGAUGAAAGCGGGGGAUCGCAAGACCUCGCGCACUUGGAGCGGCUGAUGGCAGAUUAGGUAGUUGGUGGGGUAAAGGCCUACCAAGCCUACGAUCUGUAGCUGGUCUGAGAGGACGACCAGCCACACUGGGACUGAGACACGGCCCAGACUCCUACGGGAGGCAGCAGUGGGGAAUUUUGGACAAUGGGCGAAAGCCUGAUCCAGCCAUUCCGCGUGCAGGAUGAAGGCCCUCGGGUUGUAAACUGCUUUUGUACAGAACGAAAAGGCCCUGGUUAAUACCUGGGCUCAUGACGGUACUGUAAGAAUAAGCACCGGCUAACUACGUGCCAGCAGCCGACGG